AUUGAACGCUGGCGGCAUGCUUUACACAUGCAAGUCGAACGGUAACAGGCCUUCGGGUGCUGACGAGUGGCGUACGGGUGAGUAAUGCAUCGGAACGUGCCCAGAGGCUGGGGAUAACGCAGCGAAAGCUGUGCUAAUACCUCAUGUGAUCUGAGGAUGAAAGCGGGGGACCAGGCAGCAAUGUUUGGCCUCUCGCCUUUGGAGCGGCCGAUGUCAGAUUAGGUAGUUGGUGGGGUAAAGGCCUACCAAGCCGACGAUCUGUAGCUGGUCUGAGAGGACGACCAGCCACACGGGGACUGAGACACGGCCCAGACUCCUACGGGAGGCAGCAGUGGGGAAUUUUGGACAAUGGGCGAAAGCCUGAUCCAGCAAUGCCGCGUGCGGGAAGAAGGCCUUCGGGUUGUAAACCGCUUUUGUACGGAACGAAAAGGCUCUGGCUAAUACCUGGGGCUGAUGACGGUACCGUAAGAAUAAGCACCGGCUAACUACGUG
rnacentral:rRNA from 1 species